GAAAAAAGUAAACAAGAAAUAACAUGGCAGAAUUUACACUAUUUCUUAUUGGAAACAAGAUAGAACUGAUAUUUAACUGUCAAAAGAUUAGAAACUCCAGCUAGUUGCUGUUGUUAUAUCAGGGAAGUUUAAUUUUCAUAAUUGGAAUAUGAAAUUAAUGUAAAAAUGCUCACAGUAUAGCAAGUUUUGUAACCAGCAAAAUAACUGCCACAAGUUUUAUGGCUUGCAAAUAGGUUUUGCAAGUUUUGUAACUUGAAAAUAAGUACAACAAGUUUUUUGACUAGCAAAUAAGUACCACAAGUUUUGUUGCUUGCAUAUAAGGUACAGCAAGUUUUGUGGCUUGCAAAGAGGUACCACAAUAUUUGUGGCUUGCAAAUAUAGUACAGCAAGUUUUGUAGCUUACAAAUAGGUAUUGGAAGUUUUGUGGCUUGCAAAUAGGUACUUCAAAUUUUGUGACUUGCAAAAUAAGUAUCGCAAGUUUUGUUGCUUGCAAAUAAGGUACAGUAAGUUUUGUGGCUUGCAAGUAGGUACCGCAAGUUUUGUGGUUUGCAAAUUGAUAGUUGGCUAUGGCUUACCUUUACGUGGUGUCUAUUGUUAAAAAUUAUUCAUUUUGUUUCUUAAAUGUAAUUUAAAAAUUAAAUUAUUUACUAGAAGCCCAGACGAGAAAUAAUUACAUUUUUUAUUUCAAAAAACUUGUUUUUUUUGUGUGUUUUUUUCUCAGGUUGGAGUGGUUGAUCUGUUCCUUUACACGAUAAUGUAUACUCAGAUGCAUCUUGUAAUGUGCAAUUGCAAGUUUCCAAAUACAUGCAAAGUAAAAUUGUUGGCGACAUGGCACAUGUAUUAAAGUCUUCUGUCACAGUUGACUCAGCAAGAAUGAAGUCAUUGAUACACUUUUACGUUAUGGAAUACACAAGGUGGCAGUUCCUCGCCCACUGCUACCCAAAUACAGGUAUAAGAAAUCCUUAUCUGUACGUAACAGACGCUGGAGACGAAGUGAUUAUUAUGUGUGGCAAAAGAUUAUUUUAUGAA
rnacentral:misc_RNA from 1 species